rnacentral:rRNA from 1 species
UAGGGAAUCUUCGGCAAUGGACGAAAGUCUGACCGAGCAACGCCGCGUGAGUGAAGAAGGUUUUCGGAUCGUAAAACUCUGUUGUUAGAGAAGAACAAGGACGUUAGUAACUGAACGUCCCCUGACGGUAUCUAACCAGAAAGCCACGGCUAACUACGUGCCAGCAGCCGCGGUAAUACGUAGGUGGCAAGCGUUGUCCGGAUUUAUUGGGCGUAAAGCGAGCGCAGGCGGUUUCUUAAGUCUGAUGUGAAAGCCCCCGGCUCAACCGGGGAGGGUCAUUGGAAACUGGGAGACUUGAGUGCAGAAGAGGAGAGUGGAAUUCCAUGUGUAGCUGUGAAAUGCGUAAAUAUAUGGAGGAACACCAGUGGCGAAGGCGGCUCUCUGGUCUGUAACUGACGCUGAGGCUCGAAAGCGUGGGGAGCAAACAGG